CCAGACUCCUACGGGAGGCAGCAGUGGGGAAUAUUGCACAAUGGGGGAAACCCUGAUGCAGCGACGCCGCGUGAGUGAAGAAGUAUUUCGGUAUGUAAAGCUCUAUCAGCAGGGAAGAAAAUGACGGUACCUGACUAAGAAGCCCCGGCUAACUACGUGCCAGCAGCCGCGGUAAUACGUAUGGGGCAAGCGUUAUCCGGAUUUACUGGGUGUAAAGGGAGCGCAGGCGGCGCGGCAAGUCAGAUGUGAAAGCCCGGGGCUCAACCCCGGGACUGCAUUUGAAACUGCCGUGCUGGAGUGUCGGAGAGGCAAGUGGAAUUCCUAGUGUAGCGGUGAAAUGCGUAGAUAUUAGGAGGAACACCAGUGGCGAAGGCGGCUUGCUGGACGAUAACUGACGCUGAGGCUCGAAAGCGUGGGGAGCAAACAGGAUUAGAUACCCGCGUAG
rnacentral:rRNA from 1 species